rnacentral:lncRNA from 1 species
GUGGAUGUGGAAAGAGAAGUUUGCAGAACUGAAAUGGAGGUCAGAGCUUCAUUACGGAAGGUUAGUGGGUCAUCGGAUUCUGUGACUACACUCAACAGUGAAGAAUUUGUUUUGGUUCCUCAGCAUGGAGGUGAUACUUCUACAAAAGAUGAUGAAAAACCUGAACUGAAGAUAGUUUCUAAUGGUGAUGAACAACUGGAAAAAGCCAUGGAAGAGAUUUUGAGAGAUUCGGAGAAGGGGCAAAGUAGCCUUCCUGUUGAUUGUCCAAGUUCCAGUGAGAUUUCAGACCAUUCAUUUGGAAAUAUUUCAGCCAGGCAAACAAAUAAGCCAUCUCUUCAGUUAAUUUUGGAUCCAUCAAAUACAGAAAUUUCUACACCCAGACCAUCUUCUCCAAGUGAAAUACCUGAAGAGGAUAGUGUUUUAUUUAACAAACUGACCUAUUUAGGAUGUAUGAAGGUCUCUUCCCCACGUAAUGAAGUGGAAGCUUUACGGGCAAUGGCAACUAUGAAAUCUUCCAGUCAGCACCCCUUUCCCGUUACUCUGUAUGUGCCAAAUGUUCCAGAAGGUUCUGUGAGAAUCAUAGACCAGUCCAACCAUGUGGAGAUAGCAUCCUUUCCGAUCUAUAAGGUACUGUUCUGUGCGCGUGGCCACGACGGGACGACAGAGAGCAGUUGCUUUGCGUUUACAGAGAGUUCCCAUGGUUCUGAAGAAUUCCAGAUACAUGUCUUCUCCUGUGAAAUUAGAGAAGCAGUAAGCAGAAUUUUAUAUAGUUUCUGUACAGCUUUCAAACGUUCUUCUAGACAAGUAUCAGAUGUUAAAGACUCGGUUAUUCCUACCCCCGACAGUGAUGUGUUUACCUUCAGUGUCUCGUUGGAGGUAAAAGAAGAUGAUGGAAAAGGAAACUUUAGUCCUGUGCCUAAGGAUCGAGAUAAAUUUUAUUUCAAAUUAAAACAAGGAAUAGAGAAGAAGGUUGUGAUUACAGUGCAGCAACUUUCUAACAAAGAAUUAGCUAUUGAAAGAUGUUUUGGAAUGUUAUUAAGCCCAGGUCGAAACGUGAAGAACAGUGACAUGCAUUUACUGGAUAUGGAAUCCAUGGGAAAGAGCUGUGAUGGGAGAGCUUAUGUUAUCACUGGCAUGUGGAACCCCAAUGCACCAAUAUUUCUGGCACUUAAUGAAGAAACCCCAAAAGAUAAACGAGUAUACAUGACCGUGGCAGUGGAUAUGGUAGUCACAGAGGUGGUGGAGCCAGUCCGCUUUCUCCUGGAGACAGUAGUACGUGUGUACCCUGCAAAUGAACGAUUUUGGUAUUUCAGCAGAAAAACUUUCACGGAGACUUUCUUCAUGAGGUUAAAACAGUCUGAGGGGAAAGGCCAUACCAAUGCUGGGGAUGCAAUAUAUGAGGUGGUGAGUCUACAGCGAGAGUCUGAGAAGGAGGAUCCAGUCACUCCUACUAGUGGAGGGGGCCCAUUGUCACCCCAGGAGGAUGAAGCAGAAGUGGAGAGUGAUAAUGAACUCUCAAGCGGAACAGGUGAUGUGUCUAAGGAUUGUCCUGAGAAGAUCCUAUAUUCUUGGGGAGAAUUGCUAGGAAGAUGGCACAGUAACCUUGGUGCACGACCAAAGGGGCUGUCCACUCUGGUGAAGAGUGGUGUUCCUGAAGCAUUGAGGGCAGAGGUAUGGCAAUUAUUAGCAGGCUGCCAUGACAACCAAGCGAUGCUGGAUAGGUACCGACUUCUUAUCACAAAGGACUCAGCCCAGGAGAGUGUUAUUACUCGAGAUAUUCAUCGUACAUUUCCUGCACAUGAUUACUUCAAAGAUACUGGAGGAGAUGGCCAAGAAUCUCUCUACAAGAUCUGCAAGGCCUACUCUGUCUAUGAUGAAGACAUUGGGUACUGUCAAGGACAGUCUUUUCUUGCUGCUGUAUUGCUGCUGCAUAUGCCAGAAGAACAAGCAUUCUGUGUUUUGGUGAAAAUCAUGUAUGACUAUGGUUUACGAGACCUCUACAAAAACAACUUUGAAGAUCUUCACUGCAAAUUCUAUCAGUUGGAGAGACUCAUGCAGGAGCAGUUACCGGACCUGCACAACCAUUUUUCUGAUCUGAACCUAGAAGCUCAUAUGUACGCAUCCCAGUGGUUUCUCACUCUCUUUACUGCCAAGUUCCCACUCUGCAUGGUCUUCCACAUCAUUGACUUACUGCUUUCUGAGGGUUUGAACAUAAUCUUUCAUGUAGCCUUGGCUCUCCUAAAGACCUCAAAGGAAGAUCUUCUGCAGGCUGAUUUUGAAGGCGCCUUAAAGUUCUUCAGAGUCCAGCUUCCAAAGAGAUACAGGGCAGAGGAAAAUGCAAGAAGGCUAAUGGAGCAGGCUUGCAACAUUAAGGUUCAGCUCUUAUUACUUUGGCUCCGCAGCCAAGGCAAGGACUGA